UCCCUUGUGGCUCAGCUGAUAAAGAAUCUGCCUACAAGGCAGGAGACCUGGGUUUGAUCCCUGCUGGGGAA
rnacentral:tRNA from 1 species